GAAAGAGCAUGUUUUAUAGACUUUUUUCCAAGCAUUAUCUGACAAUAACAGACACUGUAGCAGCAUUUGAAAUUCUGAAUUAUACAUAAUUUAGCCAUAUCGGUCUUUUGAAUACUCAAUCAUUAGGCCAAUGUCAUACGCAGUCCACUCCCUGGUCAUACCAGAUCAAGAAAAUUACAAAAUUGACGAAGGUAUAAACUAACAGCCGAAAUACUUGAAGGUAAUGCCUAAAUCUAUCAAGAUUAGGACGAAAAGGGAAGCUCAAAACGCCGGCAUCUGCAGUAAUAUAAGGACCCAAAAGCUUUCGGGAGAGUUCAAGGGCGUCUUAUUAUGGCGUGGCGAGUGGCUGGAGCCUGUCGUAAGCCGGCCCGGUAGAUUUGCGGAUGUGUUCUGUUUCAACAAUAAACUGCAAUUUUUACUACUAAGCUAUAAACAGAUUCAGAACCAACAUGGUGUACCUUGUGGAGACGUACAGAAAGGAGUCUGAAGUGACCGAUGUGCUCGGAUGGAAGGGAAAAAGGCAGCGCAGACCAAGACGAACUGCCCGCGCGAUCGUGAGGCGGCGCUGCAGUUCC
rnacentral:lncRNA from 1 species